AUACGUAGGUGGCGAGCGUUGUUCGGAUUUAUUGGGCGUAAAGGGUCCGCAGGGGGUUGAUUAAGUCUGAUGUGAAAUCCCUGAGCUUAACUCAGGAACUGCAUUGGAGACUGGUUGACUAGAGUAUUGGAGAGGUGAUUGGAAUUCCAGGUGUAGCGGUGGAAUGCGUAGAUAUCUGGAAGAACAUCGAAAGCGAAGGCAGAUCACUGGACAAUUACUGACCCUCAGGGACGAAAGCAUGGGGAGC
rnacentral:rRNA from 1 species